CUGCACGAGGAAGGGACACUUCAGACGGCUUUUUCUUUAUCAAGAUUUGAAUCCAGAUCACUGGCGCAUUUCCCCCCUUUUUGCAUAAAUCAAUAGUCAAUCCUUAUUCAAAAAUAUUUUCUAUCUGGACGGACUUCCAUUUUUAUAGCAUGUAUCAAGGGCCUGGGCUUUCACGGAGGGACACUGAGACAUCGAUGUACUUGUGUCGCUGAUUGAUAACAACGUGUAACACAUUGAAUACAUACAUGUGAGAGGACCUGUGAAGAUCUGACACCCACCAGGCUGUGAUACAAGCAUAUACUCUACAUACACGGUAGGCUACACUCGGAUCAAGACCGU
ensembl:lncRNA